UACAGAGGGUGCAAGCGUUUGUUCGGAAUUAUUGGGCGUAAAGGGCGCGUAGGCGGUGUCGCAAGUCCGUGGUGAAAUCUCCAGGCUCAACUUGGAGUCUGCCACGGAAACUGCGGUGCUUAGUGUGGGAGAGGUGCGUGGAAUUCCCGGUGUAGCGGUGAAAUGCGUAGAUAUCAGGAGGAACACCGGUGGCGAAGGCGGGUCUCUGGGCCGAUACUGACGCUGAGGCGCGAGAGCGUGGGGAGCAAACCGG
rnacentral:rRNA from 1 species